GGCUCCGUGGUGUAGUUGGUAACGCAUUGGCCUAGAAUGCCGAAGACGCUGGUUCGAAUCCAGCCGGUGCCC
rnacentral:tRNA from 1 species